rnacentral:rRNA from 1 species
GAACUCAGAUCACGUAAGGUUUUAAAAGUCGAACAGACUUUCUUUUUUAGGGCCUACCCCAAAAAGAUAAAUAAUUCAACAUCGAGGUCAUAAUCUUUUUCUUUUAUAAGAACUUUAAGAAAAAAUUGUGCUGUUAUCCCUACGGUAGCUUGGUUGAGUCUCAUUUUGAGGAUGUGACGAAAGGUAGAAAGAAGAUUUAGUUUUUUACCGCCCCAGUGCAACAAAAGUAAAGUUCGAUAGGGUCUUGUCGUCCUUCUUUGUUAUACAAGUCUUUUUACUUGAGUGAAAAAUUAAAAUAGUUUAGGUAAUAAAGAAAUUCAUAUGUCAGACCUUUCAUACUAGCCUUCAAUUAAAAGGCAAAUGAUUAUGCUACCUUAGCACAGAUUUAUAGCGGCUAUUUAAAGAAAUCAUUGAGCAGGUCCUACUGAAUAUAAUCUCAUUCAGAAAUGUUUUUGAUAAACAGGCAAUAAAUUUAGAGGCCGAGUUCAUAAACCUAAGGUUAAGGGGAGAAAGAGGGGAGCGGCGUUAAAGGGGGGGGGAAAGAAUAAUUUUACUAAUAAAAUCAUUAUACGGUUUGGGGGGAGGUCUUCCUUUAAUAGCAUUUCAGAGGGAAAAUAGAAGUAGUUUGAAAACUUAAGAGGACACUAUUAAUCCUUGUGUUUUAAUGAGGUGGGCAGGAUAAUGAAUAAAAAAGAUUGUCCCUUUUUAAAUCCUAGUAUUAUUACUUUAAGGGGAAACCAGAUAUCAAAGAACGCGGGUGGAAUUUCAUCUCUAUGUUCUCUUUGGAAAACUUUGUGGAAUAAGCUUGACAAGAGAAAAUAGCUCGUUUCAAUUUCGGGAAAGUUUCUUAAGAAGGUUGGGUUGAUUUUCCCUGAUACUAAAGGUACAUUUUAUUUCUAUUUUGCAAUUUGGGGAUGUUUCCCUCACGGUAAAAAAAUUAGAAAGGGUUAAUAGGAAGAAAAUGAAUAUUUGUUUAAAUAAGAUUUUUAAAGGGGGCU